CUUUAAACAAGACAGCAGUAGUACAGACUUCCAGAGCAUUCUGGUGUGAGAAGACAUUGAUAUUCAUGUAUUGCCAAGGUGAGAGAAGGAAGAAAAAAAAACAGUGAAAAAAAACUUUCUACUGUUUUAUGAAACACAACACACAUAAAAUAAUUACAGGUGCUUGAUUCUGCAACAUUGACUCAUUUGAAUAGUCCCACUGAUUUCAACUGGGCAACUUGCAUAAGUACAGAUGACUCACAUGAAUUCAGACUACAGACAGUUCCCAGACAAACCUGACAUGAGAUCCUCAUCCAAACUGAGUCACUGGGAACUACCAGAGGCUGCUGGUGUGCAACCCUUAGAGCCGCCAGAUUCUUAAACUACAAAAGGAG